AAAUCAGAAAUUUUCAACUCAUUCGUUGAAAAAAAAAAGUUUAUAAAGUUUUCUACAUUCAAACAAUUUCAGAAUAUAUCUAAAUUCUAAAGUUAACAGAUUAAGAAUUUUUCAUAGUAUAAAUAAUUGGAAAAUUUUUCAAAGUGAAAACACUUUUAAGAAAAAGAUACUCCUGUGACUUCUUAAAUACCAGUUUUUCCCAACUAAAAGAAUUUUUUAUGUUCCAAGAAUUUAGGAAUAAUUCCAAAUACAAAACAAGUCCAAUUAAGUUGAAUUUUUCUAACUUCUGCGAAUCUACGUUUUUUUUUCCAUCUUUAUGAAAUGUUUGAACUUAAAAAUUUUUAAUCAUUUAGGUGCAAAAAAUUUAAAAAUUCUAUGAGUGAAAAUCAGUUUAAAAAUCUUUUUAUUACCAACAGCAUUUCUCUAAAUGUAAACGAUUUGAAAUUUUUUCGAAGUCGAAGCAAAUUUCCAAAACCAACUACUACUACUACUCUGUAUAUAGCCGUUUUUAUCAAAUUAAAAAAGUUUCUGCGAUUAAACAAUUGCAGAACAUUUCGAAGUACUAAAAACUUGAAAAUUUUUCAAAGUCAAAGCAAUUUAAAAGUUACUUGAAGUAAAUAUGCAUCUGAAUUUUUCUAAGUAAAGUAUGAACACAGUGUUUUUGCAAUUACAAAACAUUUGAAAAUUUUUUAAAAGACCAAGCAUCUUCUGUUUAUUAAAGAGUCAUAAAAUUUUCGAUUUCAAGCAACUUAUGAAUAUUUAUAAAACUAACAGUCAGAAUUUUUCUAAGCACGAAAAAUUUUUGAAAGUCAAUAUAAUUUGUAAAUCAUUCCUUGUUCAAAAGUACAAAAAACUUGAUCUUUCGAAAGAAGAGACAAAAAUUUUCUGAGUACCAUCCUCAUGAGAAUUUUUCAAAGUACUGACAAUAUGAAAAUUUUUAACUUACAGCAUGUGCAAUGUAAUUCUUUGUACACCCAUUUUUUUAAAAAACUUACAAAUUUUUCAAAGUACCAACCACUUCAGAAUUUUCCUGAUUCUAAACACUUUCAGAACUUCUGAAGCCAACAGUUUCUAAGUUUUUCAAAGUACAAACUAUUGGAAAAGGUUUCAAAAUCAGUUUGACUUUGUUUGAAAAAUUUCCUACGACCAAACACCUACCUCUCCUUAUAUGCUCAUUUGUUCAGACUAAGAAAGUUCCAAAAGCUCGCAGCGCUCCCUAGUGUAGAAAACACCAUAUCUGUUCCAAAUAUAUUGGUUUAUUCUAGAUUAUUGGCUUAGAUUAUUUAAUUGAUCCUUUUUUUGUGCAUAGGUACAGCUUUUGUGUCGUGUACUUUUCAGAAUUUAGUCUUGGUGAUAUGGUGCUGGUGGACAUGUUUUGGGGAGCAUAAACUUCAUCGGAUCAUUUUUUGGAUAAAUCCUCAGAUAAAUCCACAUUUUUCUCUGAUCUAGAGUUCUCUUAUCAAUAGUUUUUUUGAGUCUCACUGAUAGCAUUAAAUUGUCGAAGCUGUCGUUAUUUUAAAUAGGGGAUAUCUUUAAAUACAAUUUGAACGAGGAUUGCUUGCACUAUGAAGGUUCUCAAGGAAUAUUUUUUGGCUUAUUGAUUUUGUCCGAUAUUUAAUGAAGCAAAUUCCUGAUGUUUGCAAAUGCAUCGCGAUGUCGUUGUGAAUCACUGAUGAACGUGUUAUGAAACGGAAAAUUUCCGUUGAUGGUCUGUACAAGUGUGAAAUCCGAAUUGGAGCAGAACGGCCGUAUAUCACUCCCCUCUUCGAGCUUUACACUUGUUAGCCGCUUAGGAACUUUUCCGUUCUUCGGCGCAGUAAGCCUCGGGGUAUCGAAAGAACUGGGAGGUCCUGGACUGCGACGCUAGAUCGAAAGUCCGUGACCCGAAGUCUCUGAAUAACCCUUGCGUUUGCAGCCUGAUUUCUUUCUUGAAGAACAAAAAUUAUUCAUCUCGCUCUAGUUAAGCUGAGGUGGGCUAGAUUAAGGUCCUGGACUGUAACUAAAGAUUGCAAGUCCGUGCCCUGAAAAACCACCCAGCGCUUUACUAACGUUCAAUCUUAGAUCAAGAACGUUUAUAGUGCUCGGAAUUCUCGAAUUUUGACGUCUCUAAUAUUUUCUAAUUAAGAGGAGGUAAAUAUUGCUUCAGUAUUUUUUAUUCAUCGCGAUAUGGUGCUAAUGGACAUGUUUUGGGGAACUAAAACUUUAUUGGAUCAUUUUUUAUAUAAAUCAUCCAACUGGUCUAUGAAAAAAGGAACAAUUUGAAGUUAUAAAUGACAAAUAAGUGUUCAAUCGCAGUAUUACUGGCCUAGUAACGUUUCAAUGAUCAUCAUAUUGUGAUCAAGUUGGUUUUAAAAUACACCAAGAAACAGUAACCUGGAAGUAUAGGCAGUCAAGGGCCAGCAGCGCUCCUUAGUGUAGAGAACACUAUCCAUAAUAUCGGUUAAUUCUACCUCAUUAGUUUAGAUUUAAUUUAUCAUUUUUUGUGCAUAGGUACAGCUUUUGUGUCGUGUAUUUUUCAGAAUUUACAGUCUUGGUGAUAUGGUGCUGGUGGACAUGUUUUGGGGAGCUAAAACUUCAUCCGAUCAUUUUUUGGAUAAAUCCUCAGAUAAAUCCACAUUUUUCUCUGAUCUAGAGUUCUCUUAUCUAUAGUUUUUUUGAGUCUCACUGAUAGCAUUAAAUUGUCGAAGCUGUCGUUAUUUUAAAUAGGGGAUAUCUUUAAAUACAAUUUGAACGAGGAUUUUUAGCACUAUGAAUGUUAUCAAGGAAGAAUUUUUGGCUUAUUGAUUUUGUACGAUAUUUAAUGAAGCAAAUUCCUGAUGUUUGCAAAUGCAUCGCGAUGUCGUUGUGAAUCACUGAUGAACGUGUUAUGAAACGGAAAAUUUCCGUUGAUGGUCUCUACAAGUGUGAAAUCCGAAUUGGAGCAGAACGGCCGUAUAUCACUCCCCUCUUCGAGCUUUACACUUGUUAGCCGCUUAGGAACUUUUCCGUUCUUCGGUGCAGUAAGCCUCGGGGUAUCGAAAGAACUGGGUGGUCCUGGACUGCGACGCUAGAUCGCAAGUCCGUGACCCGAAGUCUCUGAAUAACCCUUGCGUUUGCAGCCUGAUUUCUUUCUUAAAGCACAAAAAUUAUUCAUCUCGCUCUAGUUAAGCUGAGGUGGGCUAGAUUAAGGUCCUGGACUGUAACUAAAGAUUGCAAGUCCGUGCCCUGAAAAACCACCCAGCGCUUUACUAACGUUCAAUCUUAGAUCAAGAACGUUUAUAGUGCUCGGAAUUCUCGAAUUUUGACGUCUAUAAUAUUUUCUUAUUAAAAGGGGGUAAAUAUUGCUUCUGGGUAAGAUUAGUUAGGUGGUAGAAUGUUACAUUUUGAAAAUGUGAACAGUUGUAAUAUUCCAAAUUUGAACUAAGCCAUAAUCGGUUUCUUAAGAUAAACUAUAUCUUCGUGGAUCUACCUUUGCGAAUAAGAAUUUUCUUGAUACCGAAAUUAUUAAUUUGAAAAUCUAAUUUGUCAUAUUUACGAUGAAAAUCACUAAAUUUUUUAACUUGUGUUCGCGUAGGAUUUAGAAACCUGAGCUUAGUCAAAAUUUUCUUAAAAUGAUAUCUUUUUGAAGUAUAAUUUUGCGGAUUAUGGCAGCAAAGUAUGCCACUUGUACUUGAAGGUACUUACACAACGAUUGCAAGCUGCAUUGCAACAAUAAAAUGUGUAGAAUUUAGCUGGCAACUACUGCCAAAUUGAGCAAUCCUUCUUAUUGUUCAAAAACAGUUCAUCCUUCUUAAUGUUCAAAAAAAGGAUCCUGCACUAAAUCCAGGCCCAGAGAACAGCGUGGAUUGACUACACUAAUUUAGAUUUCAAAGCAAUUAAAAGAAUCUAAUACCUUUUCGUGGAAGCUUAUUUUUACUUAAUAAAUUUUUGUUAGUGAGUCAAUUUUAUGAGAUUAAAUUUUUUAGUGUUAACCCACUUUGAGUCACCAGAAUUUGAUUCUAUGAG